GAUCAUGGCUCAGGAUGAACGCUGGCGGCGUGCUUAACACAUGCAAGUCGAACGAAGCAACUAUCUUGCUCGCAAGAAAGUUGACUUAGUGGCGGACGGGUGAGUAACGCGUGGGUAACCUGCCUCAUACAGGGGGAUAACAGUUGGAAACGACUGCUAAGACCGCAUAACCCGCUAGUGUCGCAUGACACGGACGGAAAAUAUUUAUAGGUAUGAGAUGGGCCCGCGUCUGAUUAGCUAGUUGGUAAGGUAACGGCUUACCAAGGCGACGAUCAGUAGCCGACUUGAGAGAGUGAUCGGCCACAUUGGGACUGAGACACGGCCCAAACUCCUACGGGAGGCAGCAGUGGGGAAUAUUGGACAAUGGGGGAAACCCUGAUCCAGCGACGCCCGCGUGAGUGAAGAAGUAUUUCGGUAUGUAAAGCUCUAUCAGCAGGGAAGAUAAUGACAGUACCUGACUAAGAAGCCCCGGCUAACUACGUGCCAGCAGCAGC
rnacentral:rRNA from 1 species